ACGGGAGGCAGCAGUGGGGAAUAUUGGGCAAUGGGCGAAAGCCUGAUCCAGCGACGCCGCGUGAGUGAAGAAGUAUUUCGGUAUGUAAAGCUCUAUCAGCAGGGAAGAUAAUGACGGUACCUGACUAAGAAGCCCCGGCUAACUACGUGCCAGCAGCCGCGGUAAUACGUAGGGGGCAAGCGUUAUCCGGAUUUACUGGGUGUAAAGGGAGCGUAGACGGUAUGGCAAGUCUGAUGUGAAAACCCAGGGCUCAACCCUGGGACUGCAUUGGAAACUGUCAAACUAGAGUGCAGGAGAGGUAAGUGGAAUUCCUAGUGUAGCGGCGAAAUGCGCAGAUAUUAGGAGGAACACCAGUGGCGAAGGCGGCUUACUGGACUGUAACUGACGUUGAGGCUCGAAAGCGUGGGGAGCAAACAGGAUUAGAUACCCUGGUA
rnacentral:rRNA from 1 species